UGCCCUAAGUUAAUCAUUUCCAAACUAUCUAUUUCUUGCUUGUGUUCCUCAUUGGAAUAACAGUUAAGAGAGCAAAGAAAAUCAACUUUUGUGAAA